rnacentral:rRNA from 1 species
GAAAUACCACCCUUUAAUGUUUGAUGUUCUAACGUGGACCCGUGAUCCGGGUUGCGGACAGUGUCUGGUGGGUAGUUUGACUGGGGCGGUCUCCUCCUAAAGAGUAACGGAGGAGCACGAAGGUUGGCUAAUCCUGGUCGGACAUCAGGAGGUUAGUGCAAUGGCAUAAGCCAGCUUGACUGCGAGCGUGACGGCGCGAGCAGGUGCGAAAGCAGGUCAUAGUGAUCCGGUGGUUCUGAAUGGAAGGGCCAUCGCUCAACGGAUAAAAGGUACUCCGGGGAUAACAGGCUGAUACCGCCCAAGAGUUCAUAUCGACGGCGGUGUUUGGCACCUCGAUGUCGGCUCAUCACAUCCUGGGGCUGAAGUAGGUCCCAAGGGUAUGGCUGUUCGCCAUUUAAAGUGGUACGCGAGCUGGGUUUAGAACGUCGUGAGACAGUUCGGUCCCUAUCUGCCGUGGGCGCUGGAGAACUGAGGGGGGCUGCUCCUAGUACGAGAGGACCGGAGUGGACGCAUCACUGGUGUUCGGGUUGUCAUGCCAAUGGCACUGCCCGGUAGCUAAAUGCGGAAGAGAUAAGUGCUGAAAGCAUCUAAGCACGAAACUUGCCCCGAGAUGAGUUCUCCCUGACCCUUUAAGGGUCCUGAAGGAACGUUGAAGACGACGACGUUGAUAGGCCGGGUGUGUAAGCGCAGCGAUGCGUUGAGCUAACCGGUACUAAUGAACCGUGAGGCUUAACCUUACAACGCCGAAGGUGUUU